GACGAACGCUGGCGGCGUGCUUAACACAUGCAAGUCGAACGGAAAGGCCCUGCUUGCAGGGUACUCGAGUGGCGAACGGGUGAGUAACACGUGGGUGAUCUGCCCUGCACUUCGGGAUAAGCUUGGGAAACUGGGUCUAAUACCGGAUAGGACCGCACUUUAGUGUGUGUGGUGGAAAGUUUUUUCGGUGUAGGAUGAGCUCGCGGCCUAUCAGCUUGUUGGUGGGGUAAUGGCCUACCAAGGCGGCGACGGGUAGCCGGCCUGAGAGGGUGUACGGCCACAUUGGGACUGAGAUACGGCCCAGACGCCUACGGGAGGCAGCAGUGGGGAAUAUUGCACAAUGGGCGCAAGCCUGAUGCAGCGACGCCGCGUGGGGGAUGAAGGCCUUCGGGUUGUAAACUCCUUUCGCUAGGGACGAAGCUUUUUGUGACGGUACCUAGAGAAGAAGCACCGGCUAACUACGUG
rnacentral:rRNA from 1 species